rnacentral:rRNA from 1 species
CCUACGGGAGGCAGCAGUGGGGAAUAUUGGGCAAUGGGCGCAAGCCUGACCCAGCAACGCCGCGUGAAGGAAGAAGGCUUUCGGGUUGUAAACUUCUUUUGUCAGGGACGAAGCAAGUGACGGUACCUGACGAAUAAGCCACGGCUAACUACGUGCCAGCAGCCGCGGUAAUACGUAGGUGGCAAGCGUUAUCCGGAUUUACUGGGUGUAAAGGGCGUGUAGGCGGGGAAGCAAGUCAGAUGUGAAAACCACGGGCUAAACCUGUGGCCUGCAUUUGAAACUGUUUUUCUUGAGUGAUGGAGAGGCAAGCGGAAUUCCGGGUGUAGCGGUGAAAUGCGUAGAUAUACGGAGGAACACCAGUGGCGAAGGCGGAUUGCUGGACAGUAACUGACGCUGAGGCGCGAAAGCGUGGGGAGCAAACAGGAUUAGAUACCCGGGUAGUC